GAGGAUGUUGGCUUAGAAGCAGCCACCAUUUAAAAAAUGCGUAAUAGCUUACUCAUCGAGUGAUCCUGCGCCGAAAAUGAUUGGCGAUCAAGCGUUAUACCGAAGCUCUGGACUUUGCCGCAAGGCAGAGUGGUAGAAGAGCGUUGCAUGCGCGUCGAAGGGCGAUGGCGACUGACCCUGGAGCACAUGCAAGUGAGUAUGCAGACAUGAGUAACGUUAAGCCGGGUGAAAUCCCCGGCCGCCGUAAACCCGAGGUUUCCAGGGCAACGUGUUUCGUCCCUGGGUUAGCCGGGACCUAAGCCGAGGCCGAGAGGCGUAGGCGAUGGACAUCAGGUUAAUAAUCCUGAGCUCGCAACCCUUAAACUGGGGGGACGCAUGAGAAAAGAUGACUAGGUUAUUGAAUUCCGAGUUGAGUCCACGGACUCAGCGCAUCAUUGGAUCGAGUGCCAAGAAAAGCCCCAGCGUAUGCUAAGCGACCCGUACCGCAAACCGACACAGGUGGGUGGGUAGAAUAUACCAAGGCGUAAGAGUGAAACCUGGUUAAGGAACUCGGCAAAUUAGCCCCGUAACUUCGGAAGAAGGGGUGCCUGCAGCGAUGCAGGCCGCAGAGAAAUGGCCCAACCGACUGUUUAUCAAAAACACAGCACUCUGCAAAGACGCAAGUCGAAGUAUAGGGUGUGACACGUGACCAAUGCCGAAAGAUUAAGGCAAGGGGUUAGCCGCAAGGCGAAGCUCUAAACCCAAGUCCCGGUGAAUGUCGGCCGUAACUAUAACGGUCCUAAGGUAGCGAAAUUCCUUGUCGGGUAAGUUCCGACCUGCACGAAUCGUGAAACGAGUUGGGCACUGUCUCAACCAGGCGCUCAGUGAAAUUGUAGUGGCGGUGAAGAUGCCGCCUACCCGCAGAAGGACGGAAAGACCCUAUAGACCUUAACUGUAAGCUGUCAUUGUUUCUUCGGUUUUAAUGCUCAGAGUAAGUGGGAGACGCUGAAGACGCCCUUUAGGGGGCGUCCGAGUCAUCAAUGAGACACCACCCUUUGAAACUGGAGGAUCUAACCCUGAGCCGUGAAUCCGGCCAGAGGACCGUGUCAGCCGGUCAGUUUUACUGGGGCGGUAUCCUCCCAAAGAGUAACGGAGGAGCGCGAAGGUGGGCUCAGCCCGGUUGGCAACCGGGUGUCGAGUGCAUGGGCAUAAGCCCGCCUAACUGUGAGACCAACAAGUCGAGCAGAUGCGAAAGCAGGCCCAAGUGAUCCGGCGGUAGAAAGUGGAAUUGCCGUCGCUCAACGGAUAAAAGGUACCUUAGGGAUAACAGGCUGAUCACGCCCAAGAGUUCAUAUCGACGGCGUGGUUUGGCACCUCGAUGUCGGCUCGUCGCAUCCUGGGGCUGGAGAAGGUCCCAAGGGUCCGGCUGUUCGCCGGUUAAAGCGGCACGCGAGCUGGGUUCAGAACGUCGCGAGACAGUUCGGUCCUCUAUCCUCUGUGGGCGUUGGAAAAUUGAGGGGUUCAGACCUUAGUACGAGAGGACCGGGUCUGACGCACCACUGGUGCAUCGGUUGUACUGUCAAGUGCAUGGCCGAGUAGCUAAGUGCGGACGGGAUAAGCGCUGAAAGCAUCUAAGCGCCAAGCCCUUCCCAAGAUGAGUUUUCCCUACAGGUUCGUGGAAGACCACCACGUUGAUAGGUCGCAGGUGUAAGCGCAGCAAUGUAUUGAGCCGAGCGAUACUAAUUACCAAUUGACUUCAUC
rnacentral:rRNA from 1 species